rnacentral:lncRNA from 1 species
GUGAAAAUCACAUUAAGUACUGUAUAGACAACUCAUGGAAUAUAGUAAAAAUGUAACAAUCUGCAAAUUUCAAUCAUACAAAAAUUACAUGUACAGAAAACAAUGCCUGAAACACAUCAAAUCCUGUUUAUAACAAAGCUGCUGUAAACUGUGGGAAAAAAACCAUGGAGUAAAACAAAAAAUAAAAAGAGAAAAUAUAAAUGUAUUUGCUGUAGAUUGUACAGGUUAAUACAGUUACCACCUUUGUACACAUUAACUUAUUUUGUCUACGUUGCACCAAGUUUUAGAAAGCGAUAGAAAACUGUAUUCACAGAUGUGCUCAAAACCAUUAUUUGUAACAGGCUGAAAUCUGUCUCUAUGUCAUAAGUUCAUCUACCAGAAAACCUCACUGAUUUAAUUAGCUUUAAAAAAAAAAUGAAUUAAUUUACAUUGGCUAAUACGAUUUUUUUUUUUUUUUUUACCGGUAUGAAUUAAAAACCUCUGUUUUGUUCAGUGGCUGUACUUUCUAAUAAUAAGGCAGUGCUACAAGUGAAAAAGUUUAAAAAUACAUAAGAGUAUAUUCACCAACUCAGGAACUAUUGAGAAUAGACGAAGGACUUAUAAAUUUAGGUUAAAACAGCCAAGAUGGAAAAAUUUGGGGCUAUUUGUACAUAAAAUUAUCUUGCUUAUUAAACAAAAUUUCCGAUCUAGAGAAUAAACCCUAAUGUGUAUGUAUUGAUGUAGAAUUUAUCAGUGUUAUUUACUAAAGUUAUAAUUCAAAGUGAAUUUCAAAUUCAAGGGAUUCUUUAGUGUCAGGAAAACAAACUCAUUUUCCUGGCACUAUAGAAUCUUGGAAAGCCCCCCUCCCUCGUUAAAACCCCUUCAGACCCUUACCUUAAUCCAGCGCUGGGCUCCUUCCCCGCCGAUGUCCACUCCCGAGUGGAGCCGAAUGCGCGUGUGCGCCCAUAGGUCCUUAUGUGGCCACUGGAGGGGCUUCCUGGCUCAGGGCUGCACAGUAAGCAGCACUGCCAUUCAGCGUCCCCACGCUCUGCAUGGAGACGCUGAAUUUUACUCAGAGAUGCAUUGAUUCACCGCCCAAGGGGGGAGGUUGAGCGGGCGGUGGUGGUUGGGGAUCCCAGGCAGUGCCGGGGCCCAUACAGGAGAGGGAGCACAGCAGCGCAAAUUCUCUGUCUAAUCGUUUUUUUGGUACCAAAAAUACAAGGCCGGAGAGGAGUCCGAGGGAGGAAUUUGAGCUUCCUACCACCAUUGAGGGUGGCACCCCAAAGGCGUUCAAAUCAAGUUUAUUUAUAGGUCAAACGGCAAGAACCCUGAAAUUGUUUUUGCAUAUACAUAUUUGUUAAACGAGGUUACCAUCUGGGAGAUAACCUUAGGAGGCUGUGGCCUAUAAGUUAAGUAAUAUUUUAUUUCACUGGUGACAGGUAAAAUUAUCACAUUCUGUAUCAGUUAUAAAUAGGCCCGUUUUUUUAUUGAAGUAGCAGUUUAUAAAAACUAGACUCCAGGUAAAACACUUCAGCAAGUUGGUCUUCUUUCCUGGUAAUGGGUCAAAUCCUUUAUCAAUGGUUUGCACUAUUACUUGGUCCUGCCGGGUCUGCUCUGUGGCUUGAACUCUAGUUCUAGACUGGCUGAUGAUGACGAAGGUGAAGCUACUCAACUAGCAGCUGAGAAGUAAAUCUCUGUAAAUACAAUGUUUUAUACAGCCAACAGAAAUAACACUAACGUAACCUAAAAAUUGUACCCAAUAUAUGUUGGUUCCUGUAUCACCCCUUUAACUUUUGCAAAGCGGACAGAUUUCUAGACAUCUCUGAUUAAACAUAGGUGUUCAUCUGAAUUUAAACAGAUUCAGUAAUCCAGACCCGGUUUGAAGUGGAUUUGAGAUUGAGAUUUCACUUACUUACAUGCAGUAACCACCACAUUCGCACAAACUUACUGAUCCAUACAGACACUCACCUAUGCAUUGAACCAUGAAGAUACACUGUUUUUGUGAAUAGUCAUUCGGCUGAAAAAAAAUAUCUGCCUGUAAAAAAAAAAAAAAAAAAUAUCUGCCUAUAAAAUUCGGCCUUGAAAAUAUAAAAAAUUAAAUUCCACCUGUUUUACAUGACACAACAGAAAAAUAAGGCUGGCUGUUAUGGCAUUCUGUAAAAACAGUGUCUGUAUAGAUUCUCUAGAGAAGGAAAAAAAUAAGUGUCUGCUUCUUCUUUGGGGAUUGUAUGGUUUGAUAUACAAUAUUGGGAGGGACACUGGUUCAGCCACAUCAUAAAACAAAGUUGUCAACAAUUAAGAAGACUAGCAUACAAGAGACAUGUCUGCAAAUAUGGAAAUCACCAAAUGGCUACUAAAAUGUGUAGAGCUACAUAUGAAAUAAAAAGAGAAUACUCCACACAUGCAAACAUGCCACAAGGAAGUUCACCGAGUCAUUGCCCCUCACUUGGAGUAUUCACUGAUCUGUCCAGAAUGGUUUGCUUUCCAUUCAUACAGAGAAUGUUGGGUAUGAUCAGGCACAGGACACAUUGAAAGACUUUGUGGCUACAAAAAUUCUUCCAUGAUUGAGUCCCUUAAAAGGGGAACUCUAGGCUGGCAGUGAACCCCAUCUUUUCAAUGCAUUAUGCAAAUCAUAAUAAUAAAACAAAAAAGUAAACAAAUGAGAAAACAAUAGCUAAAAUGAAAAGAUAAACAGUUUCUGCAGCUACUGCAAUACCCCAGGCAAGCAUCUUAGCUAAUCUGAAGCCUUUCAUUCUGGUACAGUGGUUUGAUUUUUAACCCAUGGACAGCUGUCCAGCAGGGGUUAAUAGGAUACAAAUUAAGUCUCCUGAGGGUGUUUCAUUCAUCAUAUCAUAUGCCUGAAAUGUAUAAAUAAGUUGAUGGCACCUAUACAGUGCAACUGCAAAUGUUGGGCACAGGUUCACGCACAGUGCAGUUGAAGGGAGGUGGGAACAUGAACUGUGCACUCAAGCCAUUCAAAUAUUUAAAUGGGCAGAUUACAACAUAUAGCUUUCCACUACGGUUAAUAUGGGCAGACUCUUAGCUAUGCAAACAGUUGCAAUUUCAAGCUCUAAUAGCCAUGGCGAACCUAUGGCCCUUGUGUAACGACAUGCACACAGAGGCCUCUCUGCUGGCACACAAGCCAGAAAUUUGUUACAUAACAGGUACUCUGAAUAUGGCACUACUAUUAAGGGGCAAAGGCGGCCACCUCAGGACACACUGCCUGGGUGUGUCAUCAAAAUUGUCAUAUUAAAAAAAAAAAUGAUGCCUUGAUGGUCGUGGUGGGGCGCAUGGUCUACACUUCCGACUGGUGCAAACCUUAUUAAAUGCUACCCUUGCGGUUUAGAAUUCAGUGAGGGAGUCAGCACAGUCCUCACGAUUCCUAGCGUGAGCUCCCACUUCCUCACCGACUGUCAAACCAGAAGGAGUGAUUGAUAUGGUCUCCCUCUCCCCUGCCAGCACAUUCAGGCCCCAGCCCUCCAAUGUGCCUUCGCGGACUGGAAGGAAGAUCAGAGAUCUCCCUCCCCGAUCCACAGGCACCGUGCUGGCAGCUGGCGGGGGGAGGGAAGGAGAGAGGACCCGGGAGCUCAGCCUGCAGCUCCUCCGGGUCCUCUUCUCACGAGCACAGAGCGUUGCCGCGGUUACCACGGCAACACUCCAAAUCUCGCGAGAGUGAACUCUAGCCACCGGGCCACCAGGUAAUCCCCACCGGGCCACCAGAGAUCAAGAAAUGUCCCCCCUGCUCCCAGUAAAGGUAAGAAGGGAGGGGGGACAUAAUGAAUAUUUAUUUUAAUUAAAU